CUUAGUCGAUGGCCUAUAAAUUCACCAUUGAACCAUGUUCAUCACAUCGUCGAUUUCUCCAUUGUUCUUUUCCCCACUGCAGUUCGAGUUUCCAUUCAAACCGAAGAUUCGUUUGAAUGUUUGUAUAGGCCAUUCAUUCUUGUAGUAUUCAUAUGCUUCCAUUAGACGUAUAGUUGAUUCUGCUGAAGAAGAAGCAAUGAUGAUUUUAAACACUUGGACGUGUUGUGGGCAGUGGCCAUAACUUUUGAUCGAGUUAUGCCGUGAGCCUGUAUAUUAAACGACUUCUCCUUCCACUGAGCUUCUUUGUUUGAUUUCAUUUGGAUUAGCAUUUUGUUUGAUAUAUAGGCAUGGAGUUUUUAGGGGUCAGCACAAUGCGUCCAUUACCAAUUCUGGGGGAUUUUUUCAGUUCCUCUUGGCAUAAUGGCUCGGACGCAAUAUCAGUAAUGUGGCCAUCCUGAUUGAUGGUUAGCCUCAAUCCCAUUCAAUCGUGGAAACACCUCAGACAUUUUCACUUUAGGAGCUAACCUCUUCGAAUCCCAUUACUUCACACUUGCAUUUUGUUCAUCAAUAUGAUCCAUUGCUUGAAAUUGCUAAUUGAAUCUGAGUUUUUUUUUUAAUCUAUUUUCCAUUUUGGACUGAAUGAUUUCUCAACGAAGCAUGGCAGAGAUCGAUAAUUCAUGUAAGAUUCAGGUCAAGGAUCGUGUCCUCGUUGCAGGCUUUCUUGGUGUCACUCUCGCUGUAUCGUGACGUCCUUCUAUUUAAUUCUCAAGUUUUUUCAAUAAUUUGUAAUUUAUAAUUUUUAUUUAUUUCCUCCAUUGUAAGGAUUAUUGUUAAUAUCUAAUAAAAUUUAUUAUUUCUUUUAA